rnacentral:tRNA from 1 species
GGUCGCGUGGCCGAGUGGUUAGGCAAAGGUCUGCAAAACCUUCUACGGUGGUUCGAACCCACUCGCGACCU